CAUAAUUUUAAUUUAUUUUCAAUAUUAACAAUAAAAUAUUAACAAUAUUUUAAAUUUUUAACAAUAAAAUUUUAACAAUAAAUAAUUAUCUUUUAAACAAUUUUGAAAAUUCAGUGUAACAAUUCUUGUUUGGAAAUUCAUUCAUUGCAUGAUUUCGCAUCUUAACUACUACAUUGUUAAUUCACUUCUAUUCAACAAUGAUUUUCUCGAUUUUAAUUUGUAAAGAAUAAAAAAAAGUAAAUUCGUAAACAAAAAGUGUUUAUCUCUUAUCGUGCAUUGGAAUUAAUUUGAGACUUUUAUUUCAAAUGGUAUAAAAAGUCGAAAGAAAUUGAUUCCAAUCAUCAGUUCUCUUACCACUGUUAACAUACUACAAAGUUUUAUUUCAACUCAACGUGAAAAUUCGUUUUCAAAAUGAAAUUGACAAUUACGAGUCUAAUUGUUCUUCUCGCUCUCUUUGGAUUAAGCGCAGCUGUUGAUCAAGUAGGCGAAAUGAAUUGUAAAGGCAAAGGCAAAAAAGGAAAGUAAAAUGUCUGCCUAAAGAAGACUAUAAUUUUUGAUGCUUUUUAAAUUCAAUCUAAAAUUUAAC